rnacentral:rRNA from 1 species
GUCCAUGCCGUAAACGAUGAUAGCUGGGUGCCCGGAGCUUGCCUCUGGGUGCCUGAGGGAAACCAUUAAGCUAUCCACCUGGGAGUACGCCGGCAACGGUGAAACUCAAAGGAAUUGACGGGGCCCGCACAAGCGGUGGAACAUGUGGUUUAAUUCGAUGAUACGCGAGGAACCUUACCCGGGCUUAAAUGGCAGGUGCAUAGAUCAGAGAUGAUCUUUUCCUUCACGGGACUCCUGUCAAGGUGCUGCAUGGCUGUCGU